CUGUGCUUUUCCUGAUAUGAGCAGCCAAAAUGUCUGCUGUGAAAAACAUCUAUUUAACUCAAAAUGAUCUCAAGCUUUUAAAGGUGUAUCAUGAAGAACUCUUUGUAACAGUGACUGCAAUAAAUAAGAUUCUGGGCUUUUUAAAGCUGGUCAUGGUUACUUUUCUGAAACCAUCUCCACACAUUCAAGUCUGUCUCCUGGUGUUUGAGUCUGAUUGUAGUUUCUGAUGUGCUCUGUGUUACAGUGAUACAGGGUCAGAAUGGCUGGGGAGUGACUUACACCUCUACUCAGAUCUGUGCCUUAAAAGGAUCAACAGUGGAAAUAAGCUGCACCCUCACAUACCCAUCCAGAAUAAAUGGCCGUGAUACUAAAGUUGAGGAAACAUUCUGGUUUACUAAACUGCAAGAUAAAGAACCUGUGGAUCUGAGAACAGACUCAAGAUACGCAGGUCGUUUGCAGUACAGUUGUUCUGACAACAUCUGCACUCUGAGAAUCACAGACCUGAGAGAGAGCGACUCAGCUGAGUACAAGUUCAUGUUCAUAACAAACCAACCAGGUGGAAGAUUUACUGGUUCACCUGGAGUCACUUUGUCUGUCAGAGGUAACAUUUUUGUUGGAAACCAUAUACAGGUUUCCAGGUGCAGAUGAGCAGCUCAAAAUUAUGCAAGUUUUUCACGUGUACAUGGUCACAGCUUAAGUGUCUCAGCAGCUGUCGUCUACGUGAUCAAACCUCCUACAUCUGGUACAAGAAUGGACAGAAAAUUAAGGAAGAAGCACCUUCUUAUUCAGACUACUUUUAUCCUGCAGACAGCUAUUCCUGUGCCCUUAAAGGACAUUUUCCUUCUCCAUCAGUGUGUGUCUAUGGUCAUUCAUGCAACAGAGUGACUUACACUGACAGAAGCAUCUGUGCCUUCAAAGGCUCAUCAGUGGACAUUUCUUGUACUUACAACAGUUAUGACACAUAUAUCAGAUCUAAAUUCUGGUUCAGUCCUGAACGUAGUCUUCAGUGGCAGAAUCCCUCACAGCCUGAGGACCUUAGUAAAGACUCCCAGUAUGCAGGUCGUGUUCAGGUCCUUGAAACAGAGAGAGGACGCUCCACUCUGAGAAUCACUGACCUGAGAGAGAGCGACUCAGCUGAGUAUCACUUCAAAUUCACAGCAGGAAGCUUUGAAUGGAGGAGUAGUUUACCUGGUACAACUCUGACUGUCACAGGUACUGAUGAACACAAACUGUAACAGCACAUUUAAACUAUCUGAUGACAAGUGAAUGUGCUGAAUAGUGAUCCUGAUGGGAAAUAAUUGGAU